rnacentral:rRNA from 1 species
GAUGAACGCUGGCGGCGUGCCUAAUACAUGCAAGUCGAGCGAACGGACGAGAAGCUUGCUCUUCUGAUGUUAUCGGCGGACGGGUGAGUAACACGUGGAUAACCUACCUAUAAGACUGGGGUAACUUCGGGAAACAGGAGCUAAUACCGGAUAAUAUUUUGAACCGCAUGGUUCAAAAGUGAAAGACGGUCUUGCUGUCACUUAUAGAUUGAUCCGCGCUGCAUUAGCUAGUUGGUAAGGUAACGGCUUACCAAGGCAACGAUGCAUAGCCGACCUGAGAGGGUGGUCGGCCACACGGGAAGUGAGACACGGUCCAGACUCCGACGGGAGGCAGCAGUAGGGAAUCUUCCGCGAGGGGCGAAAGCCUGACGGAGCACCGCCGCGUGAGUGAUGAAGGUCUUCGGAUCGUAAAACUCUGUUAUUAGGGAAGAACAUAUGUGUAAGUAACUGUGCACAUCUUGACGGUACCUAAUCAGAAAGCCACGGCUAACUACGUG